UGAGGUGGGAGGGACCUUUGGGGAGAGUCGAUGCUCAAGGCUGCUGAUGCCCUGAGCCGAAAGGUCCUUUCAUCUUCUAGGUUUUACAAAUGUCACCUCACACAGGAGAUCGGGAGGAGCCUUGGGGCUUAGCUCUGCCAAGAGGUCUGGAAGCAGGGCCUGGGCCUGGCAGCGCUGAUAGAACUUUACAAGGAGGACGUCUCUCUGCUCUUCCUCAACUCCUUCCAGAUAGGACACAGGAAGCCGUGCCGGGUAGAUCUCCAUGAGCCCCUUCGGACUUCCCUCACCAUCGCCAUCUUCUCUCCACGACAGAAAGUCUCAGGGAUCUCCGAAAUCAAGAUGUACCCUCCACUGUAAGAAGCAUGGAAUCUACCCUGUCAUCCCCAGACUUCUGAGAUGAGGCCACUAUGCACAGUCUUCGGCUGAUGUUCUUUAAAAUAAUAGAUUUGCUUUUUUUUUUUUUAAAAAAAAAGAUGGUGCCUGUCCUGGGGAAGAGAUUGCACAAAGUGAACUGAGGGCAGAGACAUAAAACAAGCACUCAUUCUUCAUCAGUGUGUAAGGAAAGAUGAUCCCUGAGAGCGGGAGGGGCCUAGAGCCUGACCUUAGAGAAGCUGGGAGCUCAAAUCACUCCAUGUAAACAUUGAAGUCAAGAUGAAAGUAAGGGCCUGCAGGAUGUGAGGAGCAUUGGAUGUCAGGCACCGAAGGAGC